rnacentral:lncRNA from 1 species
CCCUCCCCCAUUCCUAUGAAGAUGUGAAGAAAUGGAUUUGUAAUAGACAUUUCAGAGACAGGAGAGACUUCCUGAUGAUCCUUGUAUUACACCACUUAUUCCAUACACAAAAAUUGUGUUGGUGAUCAUUUGGGGGUCAAUUAGGCCCUAGAAUACAACUGCAUUUGUUGUAUCCUUCUUCUGAUGAGUUACCUGACCCCUUCUCAACAACAUUCCUCCAGUGGUAUUCCAUCAAAUACAAAGAUCUCAGCUCUGAUCACUUUUUUGAAGGGAGAAUGUCUUAGAAAUAUGAAAACUGACCUCUAAAGGUAU